GGGUCAAUAAUGACGCCUUAUAGGGCCCUGAAGAGUGGCAAUGACAUGGAAAUGAUGCUCAGCCAGAGGUGCUGGUGGCUC